GACGAACGCUGGCGGCGUGCUUAACACAUGCAAGUCGAACGGUAAGGCCCUGCUUUUGUGGGGUGCUCGAGUGGCGAACGGGUGAGUAACACGUGAGUAACCUGCCCUUGACUUUGGGAUAACUUCAGGAAACUGGGGCUCAUACCGGAUAGGAGCUCCUGCUGCAUGGUGGGGGUUGGAAAGUUUCGGCGGUUGGGGAUGGACUCGCGGUUUAUCAGCUUGUUGGUGGGGUAGUGGCUUACCAAGGCUUUGACGGGUAGCCGGCCUGAGAGGGUGACCGGCCACAGUGGGACUGAGAUACGGCCCAGAGUCCUACGGGAGGCAGCAGUGGGGAAUAUUGCACAAUGGGCGGAAGCCUGAUGCAGCAACGCCGCGUGCGGGAUGACGGCCUUCGGGUUGUAAACCGCUUUCGCCUGUGACGAAGCGUGAGUGACGGUAAUGGGUAAAGAAGCACCGGCUAACUACGUG
rnacentral:rRNA from 1 species